CUAAAACGUCCGUAGCCGGUUUGGUACAUUCUUGGUUAAAUCCAUUUGCUCAACUAUUGUGAAUGCUGCGAAUACUGACAGACUUGGAGACCGGGAGAGGUGUACGGGACUCUCAGGGUGGGGUAAAUCCUCUGAUCCUGAGAUGACCACCUGUGUGCGAAAGGCGGCCCACCAGAACGGAUCCGACGGGGAGGGAUGAAAACCUGGGGGCACGAACCGGAUUAGAUACCCGGGUAGUCCUAGGUGUAAACGCUGUGGACUUGAUGUUGGGUGUGCUCCGAGCACUGCCAGGGCCGAAGCGAAGGUGAUAAGUCCACUGCCUGGGAAGUACGGUCGCAAGGUUAAAAUUUAAAGGAAUUGGGGGGGGAA
rnacentral:rRNA from 1 species